rnacentral:rRNA from 1 species
AGAUUGAACGCUGGCGGCAUGCCUAACACAUGCAAGUCGAACGGGAGUAGCAAUACUCUAGUGGCGGACGGGUGAGGAAUACGUAGGAAUUUGCCCUUAAGUGGGGGAUAACCCGGGGAAACCCGGAUUAAUACCGCAUGACCUCGAAAGAGCAAAGUCGGGGGAUCGCAAGACCUCACGCUUUUGGAGAAGCCUACGUCGGAUUAGCUAGUUGGUGAGGUAAUGGCUCACCAAGGCGACGAUCCGUAACUGGUCUGAGAGGAUGAUCAGUCACACCGGAACUGAGACACGGUCCGGACUCCGUACGGGAGGCAGCAGUGGGGAAUAGUUGGACAAGUGGGCGCAAGCCUGAUCCAGCAAUGCCGCGUGUGUGAAGAACGGCCGUUGGUUAGUAACGCUAACGUUUAAGUUAGGG